rnacentral:rRNA from 1 species
AUUGAACGCUGGCGGCAUGCCUUACACAUGCAAGUCGAACGGUAACAGGUCUUCGGAUGCUGACGAGUGGCGAACGGGUGAGUAAUACAUCGGAACGUGCCCGAUCGUGGGGGAUAACGCAGCGAAAGCUGUGCUAAUACCGCAUACGAUCUACGGAUGAAAGCGGGGGAUCUUCGGACCUCGCGCGGACGGAGCGGCCGAUGGCAGAUUAGGUAGUUGGUGAGGUAAAGGCGCACCAAGCCGACGAUCUGUAGCUGGUCUGAGAGGACGACCAGCCACACUGGGACUGAGACACGGCCCAGACUCCUACGGGAGGCAGCAGUGGGGAAUUUUGGACAAUGGGCACAAGCCUGAUCCAGCCAUGCCGCGUGCAGGAUGAAGGCCUUCGGGUUGUAAACUGCUUUUGUACGGAACGAAAAGGUUCUUUCUAAUAAAGAGAGCUCAUGACGGUACCGUAAGAAUAAGCACCGGCUAACUACGUGCCAGCCGCCGCCGUAA